rnacentral:lncRNA from 1 species
AAUUGUCCAAUUUGUGGAGAGGUUGCUUCAUGAAUAAGAAAAAGAAGAAAAAUGAAAAGAAAGAUGCAAUUUAAAGAAAAGAAAAAAAAAGAAUGAAAAUGAAAGAAAAGAAAAGAAAAGAAAUGAUGAAAUUGUUGCAUCAAUAGAUCUCGAGGGAUUGAAAGUAAGUAAGAAAAAUGAAAGUGUGGAAAAUAUGAUUUUUUGUGAUGCUCUUCAUUAACUUUGGCCAUUUG